CCAACGGCUCUUUUCAGGGCCACCAGAAGUUCAGGUCAAGAAAUC
rfam:Daphnia magna strain Xinb3 contig48763, whole genome shotgun sequence.